UACGGGGGGGGCAAGCGUUGUUCGGAAUUACUGGGCGUAAAGGGCUCGUAGGCGGCCAACUAAGUCGGAUGUGAAAUCCCCAGGCUCAACCUGGGAAUUGCGCGCGAAACGGGGGGGCUUGAGUUCGGGAGAGGAGCGUGGAAUUCCCAGUGUAGAGGUGAAAUUCGUAGAUAUUGGGAAGAACACCGGUGGCGAAGGCGGGUCUCUGGGCCGAAAUUGGCGCUGAGGAGCGAAAGCGUGGGGAGCAAACAGG
rnacentral:rRNA from 1 species